rnacentral:rRNA from 1 species
AUGAGAGACCUUCUUAAGUAUUGGAAAAGAAGGGGCCUGCUGAUAGAGCUGGGCAGGGAGGCGGUACUAGUUAUCAGGUCAGAGAGAGGCAUGGCCCGUAAGCUGGCCCCCUUUAAAAGCCAUUCCUUAUUAAUAAGGAUUUUUUACGUGCAAUAUGCGGACGACUUACUACUGGGAAUCCUGGGUGCUGUAUUUCUUCUCAUAGAAAUACAAAAACGUAUCACCCACUUCCUACAAUCCGGUCUGAACCUUUGGGUAGGCUCCACAGGAUCAACAACCAUAGCUGCACGGAGUAUGGUAGAAUUCCCCGGUACGGUCAUUCGGGAAGUCCCCCCGAGGACGACUCCCAUACAAUUCUUGCGAGAUCUGGAGAAGCGUCUACGGGUAAAGCACCGUAUACAUAUAACUGCCUGCCACCUACGCUCCGCCAUCCAUUCCAAGUUUAGGGACCUAGGUUAUAGUCCUAUCAAAGAGCUGACGAAGGGGAUGAGCAGAAGAGGUUGUCUACUAGACGCGGUUCAACUAGCGUAGACUCUUGGAAAAGAUGGACUAAAACAUCCCGAAGUUAGUGUAUUAUGGGGGACCGUCAAGCACAUCAGGCAAAGAUCAAGGGGGAUCUUGUUGUUGCAUAGCUCAGGUAGGAGCAAGGUGCCAUCAGGCGUUCAACAGGCAUUCUCAUGAUCGGGCAUGAGUGUCCUGAAGAAGAAAUUGUAUACUCCCUUUGGUCGGAAGGCGGCGGGGGAAGGAAGGGGACACUGGGAGCGAUCUUUCAGCAGCAAAUUCCCCAUACAGAUAGAGGCGCCUAUCAAAAAGAUACUCUAAAGGUUUCGGGAUCGACGUCUCAUUAGCCGAAGAAGACCCCGGCCAAUCCACGUGGCCUCUUUAACCAACGUCAAUGAAAGAGACAUAGUAAAUUGGUCCGCGGGCAUCGCGAUAAGUCCUCUGUCCUACUACAGGUGCUGCGACAACCUUUACCAAGUCUGAACGAUUGUCAACUACCAGAUCGGCUGGUCACUAUAUUCACCAUAG